rnacentral:rRNA from 1 species
GACAUAGGAGGCGAGCGUUAUCCGGAUUUAUUGGGCGUAAAGUGCGUUGAGGCGGCAUUGUAAGUUGGACGUGAAAGCUCCUGGCUUAACUGGGAGAGGCCGUUCAAUACUGCAAGGCUAGAGGGUAGCAGAGGGGGGUGGAAUUCCCGGUGUAGUGGUGAAAUGCGUAGAUAUCGGGAGGAACACCAGUGGCGAAGGCGGCCCCCUGGGCUACACCUGACGCUGAAGGCGAAAGCUAGGGUAGCAAACGGGAUUAGAUACCCGUGUA